AUAUAUUUGUAAAAUAUAGCAAAAUUAGACUUUUUAGAUUCAGAAAAAAAUUUAAAAGAUUAAUAUAUAUUUUAUGGUAAUUAUUUAAUAAAGAAUUCAUAACAAAACAAACUAAAUAUAUAUAAGUAAAGAGAAGAAGAAACAAAAGUUAUUUUUGUCUUUAUUUGACUAUAUGACAAAACAACAGAAGGUUAUAAAGGUCAUUCACUAAAAUCUCUAUUAGAUAGAAAGUUGUAUUAGAGAGGAAAGAGAAAAGUGUCUAUUCUCCCUAUUUCUAAAAAAACUACCUACUUUGCAAAUUAUUUGUGAAAAAAGUGUCUAGUUUCCAACUUAUUUCUAAAAAAUUCUUCCUAAACUUCUUCCAAAUUGGGAUGUUAACUUUGAAACGCAACGAUGCCUCUAAAUCCUCCUGAUAUUGUUGGGCUGAGGAGAGAUGCUAUGGUAAUAGAGGUUGUGAAU
rnacentral:sRNA from 1 species